UCUGACUGUCCAGUGCUCAGUGGCUCUGGGGCUGUGUACCGAGUAUGUGCAGGAACCGCCACCUUCCACCUGCUGCAGGCUGUGUUGCUGGUCCACCUCCACUCCCCCACCAGCCCGCGGGCACAGCUGCAUAAUAGCAUGGCAUUACAUUGGCAUCUGUGGAGGCUUUGCAUUCAUCCUACUGCAGUUGGUGCUUAUUACAGCUUUUGCCCAUUCCUGGAACAAGAACUGGCAGACAGGUGCAGCUCAAGACUGUAGCUGGUUCCUGGCUGUCCUGCUGGCCACCCUAGGAUUCUACAGCAUGGCAGGUGUGGGAGCUGUGCUCCUAUUCCACUAUUAUACACACCCAGCUGGCUGCCUGCUUAACAAGAUGCUCCUCAGUCUGCACCUUUGCUUCUGUGGCCUCAUCUCCUUCCUCUCCAUCGCUCCUUGCAUCCGCCUCAGUGGGUACAUGUCCUACAGCAUUCCAGGUUUUGGGGGCCUUAAAAGCAUAGCAAGUUUCAUUACCUCCCUAAUCUCAAUUAUUUGAUAAAAGAAUCUCUGCUUCCCUAUCCCCACCAAAGGAUGGGGAGACAGAAGUACAAGUGGGGGUAGAAAUGGAGGAAAUUACCAGCCUGUAGACUAAAGCAAUUAUACUUACUCCCCAGAGCAACCCCGCUCUGGCCUCCUACAAGCUUCUGUCAUCAGCUGCUAUAUCAUGUAUCUGACUUUCUCUGCACUGUCCAGCCGUCCUCCAGAGAGAGGUAAGGGACAGGACCUGGAUUCUCCAUGCUAAGACCUUUUUUUGCCCCUGCCAAAUACCUAGCUCAUUGUUAAUACCCAUCUCUUCUGUUGUCCCUUCCCAGUAAUCCUUCAAGG
rnacentral:lncRNA from 1 species